AGGCGGCUACCUGGACAGUGACUGACGCUGAGGCGCGAAAGCUAGGGGAGCGAACGGGAUUAGGUACCCCGGUAGUCCUAGCCGUAAACGAUGGGCACUUGGUGUUGGGGGUAUUGAGUCCCCCGGUGCCGGAGUUAACACGUUAAGUGCCCCGCCUGGGGAGUACGGUCGCAAGACUGAAACUCAAAGGAAUUGACGGGGGCCCGCACAAGCGGUGGAGCAUGUGGUUCAAUUCGACGCAACGCGAAGAACCUUACCGGGGCUCGAACGGUAACUGUAAUUCCUGGAAACAGGAAGUUCUCUUCGGAGACGGUUAUCGAGGUGCUGCAUGGCUGUCGUCAGCUCGUGUCGUGAGAUGUUGGGUUAAGUCCCGCAACGAGCGCAACCCUUGCCCUUAGUUGCCAUCAGGUUAUGCUGGGCACCCUAAGGGAACUGUCGGCGAAAAGCCGGAGGAAGGUGGGGAUGACGUCAAGUCCUCAUGGCCCUUACGUCCCGGGCUACACACGUGCUACAAUGGUCGGUACAAAGGGUUGCCAACCCGCGAGGGGGAGCUAAUCCCAAAAAGCCGAUCUCAGUUCGGAUUGCAGUCUGCAACUCGACUGCAUGAAGGCGGAAUCGCUAGUAAUCGCAGAUCAGAAUGCUGCGGUGAAUACGUUCCCGGGCCUUGUACACACCGCCCGUCACAUCACGAAAGUGGGUUGUACUAGAAAUCGCUGAGCUAACUCGCAAGAGGGGCAAGCGCUUAAGGUAUGAUCCAUGAUUGGGGUGAAGUCGUAACAAGGUAACCA
rnacentral:rRNA from 1 species